ensembl:lincRNA Gm29461 predicted gene 29461
GCCAUGAGGAGCAACCAGUAAGCAGGAUUUGUCCAACCCCCACAGUAGGACAAAUGAGUGAGAUGCAAUCAUUUGAAGUGAUGAAACAAAAGCUGUUCAAUGAGCCUCUGGAGAGAUGAAAGGCAAAAGAGAAAGGCCUCCGGCUAAAGACUUCAUGGCUGGGAAACCCACAAUUUUUAUGCAGAAGUCCUUACUGCUGUGGGAUUCCAAAGGAGAAAGCAGUGCAUUUUUCAUGAAAACAAAAAUGAAAUAAAACAAAACCAAAUCUCUCAGAAGAUAGAAGUGAGAUGGGUUCCGAGGACAAAUUGAUUAAUCUAUAAGUGAUCAAUAUUGAUGAAUUUAUCUGGUCUACUAUGGAAGAACUCAGUAAAUGGAAGAUCCUCAAAGUCUGCAGAUUCUAGCAAGAAAUGCUCUGUGAUAUUUUUCUACAGGUUCAUGAGCUAAAAAUGACAGUGGACAUUCAAGUGUGGUGUCCAGUGAGACAACUCAUCACUGGCUUCAAGUAGGGAUCUGAGUUUACUCACAGUAUCUAUUCGUGGUGAUGGAUCCUGUGACCAUUGGAUGAAAAGUUUCUCCAUUUAAGAAAACCAAACUUUCAUCUGAGAGAGGAGGCAGUUUACUAUAUGAUGGGUACCCCUCUGGGCUCUGACAAUGUAUUUGGACUUCUGUUGGGGAAAUCUGAGUUUGUUGUCUAUCUUGCAGCCUUUGAUUAAGGUCCAGGACCAUUUAUGCCUUCAGAAUCCCGUUAGUAACUUUCUCAAGGGCUUGCAACUGAGGAAAGCAGCAGGUGUCAGGGAGGUACCCACUUGCUAUGUACAGUCUUGCUAAUUUGUUUUUUCUAGGAAUGUCCCAUGGACAACAGUAGCCACCAUAGAAGUUAAUUACAAUUUUACCUUUUUAUUUAUUUAUAAGUUUUGCUAUUAGUUGAACUAGCAAAUGGUUCAAUAGUAAAUUAUCUUGCAGUUCUUGUGUGAUGAAACUGCAUAAAGACAGAAAGUUACAAUACAAGCUUUGUAGUAUUAGUAUACAUGUGGGUUUUCAUAUAUCUACUAAGCUGGAGAUGGAUUUCAUUAUUCAACAUUUGCAUAACAGAAAGUGAGCUUUUAUUAUUUUCCAAUUAAAUAUUAUACCUAUUACAGUUUUCUUUUUUUUUAGAAAACAGACUAGUAUAAAGUGAGAAUUAACAACAGUAAGCUGGCAAACUUUACUAGAUUAUUAUUAGAUAUAAUCAACGUGAAGAUCCAAGGAGCCAAGUGAAUGAAAGAAUUUCUAAUCUAUAAAGCCGUGUUAGCGUUCUGAAAAGUUACUUGACCAAUAUAUGGUUGUGCAUAUCAUCUGCUGUGUUCUGAAAACAACUCUUGGUGCUUGAAAAAAUGAAAACUAAACUGGUUAGUGAUGCUACAUGGCUUUAAUUGCAGGAAUUAGGAGGCAGAGGCAGGCAGGCUCUGUGAGUUUAAGGCCAGCCUGGUCUAUGGAAAGAGUUCCAGGACAGCCAAAGGAAGACAGAGAAAUCCUGUCUUCCAAAACAAACAAACUAACUAAAACCAACCAAACAAAAAAAGUAAACACAUAGCUGAAAGGUUUGAUUUUUAUUCUCAAAUAUUUUUAUGGUCAAGGAAACUGAUCCAACAUUUGUGUAGUGCAGAGUCCAAGAUAGUGCUUGCUUCAAAGUCAGUUCCACCAGGAGAAUGGGAUGUCUAUGGCACACUCUAUAGGUUCAUAUAUGGGGAGGCUGAAAGGACUGAAAGUAAUUAAAGGAAGCUUAAAAUAAUGAUGUUCUAGGUUAUGCCUAUUUCUAAAAUGUCCCCUUCCUUCCAUGUCACUCGUCACAUCCUUAUUUACCAGCUUAGCUGUUCUAGUGCCUAUGACCUCAUUGGCCCGCUCUUACGGAUUCAUCACUUCCUUAUCUGGCAUCCAGCCUGGAAUAACACACAUUUUAUUACUGAGAAUAUCCCAUUAUGUCAAAUCAAUAAAGGAAUUAUCAUUUUUGAAGGGAGAUGGAGCUACGCUGUAGUAUGUUUCAUUGCUUUCUGCCUCCCUGACUGGGCAAGUCACUUAGUCUUGAGUCUGAGCAAGUCUUAGCUGUAAAUGAUAAUGAUGACAUUAUGAACAUUAAAUAUAGUGUUCACACAUGUCCUGCAUAUAGGAAACACCUAAGAAAUGACAUUCAUUGUUAAUUUUUAUGGAUAUAUUAUCCCUGUUAGAUGGUCUUUCACUCUCAUUAUGCUCUUCUUUAGCUAAUGGAAACUGGCAUGAGGACCAGGUACAUAGGAAGUACCUGAUAAAUAUUUGAACCAGUAAGCAUAUAGGAAACAAAAAAGAGAUAAAUUAGAAGCGAUAUUUUGUGUGAGGGAAUGGUGUAGAAGAGUUGAAAGGGACAAGAAAUUAGAAAUCUCUCUGAUCUUACCAGAGGAAAGUCUUGCAGAGCAUAUUCAGUUUGAUUGGCUAGUGAACUACAAGUUGGCACAUUCAGGUUCAAUGGUAUCUGCUAUGGUAAGGAGUGUGGGGAUAUAGUGUUUUGGGAGACAAUGAUAUACUAAAAAAGUAUGAGUAAUGGAUAUUUUUAGAAAACCAGAUUCAUCCCUAUGAACCCCGGUGAUGGUUGGUCUUAAUGUUAAUUUGUCAGGAAUUACAAUCAUGUGAGUAGGGAGUUUCACCUGAAGGAUUGCCCUGAUUUUCUCAGUGGGUGAGAAAAAACCUACUCCAGUGUGAAUGGUUCCUUCUGGGAGCCGCCUAGAUAAACAGAGAGCCUGGCACUGGGAACAUUGUUCUCCUUUGUCCAUACCUUCAGACACCAAGUGGGUUUCCCAUUGCAGCCAUGGCUGAUGUCUCCAGGGAUCGCAGAACCAGCAUUUCCAGGCUUCAUCACUGACCAAGGACUAGCCAUUCUCCGGGAACGUUUAAGGUUUGCAGCUCCAGGUUAGGAUUGCUGUGGCACCAGCCUCUGGGACUGAGUGCUGGGUUGUGGGCUUCUGGUGUGAGACCAUGAGUGUGGGAUUCACUCCAAUUGCAGGUGUACCAGCCUUCAGUACUGAGUCACUGUGGGCUUCUCUGCUUCUAAGCUGAUUUAAGGCAUUCUUUUUACUAUUCAGCUAUAGGUUCUGCUGCUCUGGAGAACACUGACCUACUCAAACACUAAUGACUUUAACAUGUUAACAUUUUUAUUUGUUUAUAAGAGGAACAUGUGUGUGUUCACUACACCCCAAGGUUUUGAAAAAAAACUUGUCAUACUGUGUAUAGCCGUGUGAUGAGAUAUUUUUGAGAAGGGAGGACUAGAGAAAGGUUUCACUUUGUUGCAUAGGCUGGCCUUGAACUUGGGGUUAUCCUUCUGCUACAACUUUUCAAGUACUAGGCUUAAAGGCAGAAUCCACAAAACUCAGCAUAAAGAAGAUCCAGAGAAGAUAGUCUAUUCUGAUGAAAUGUAAGGGUGCCUUAAAGAUGAUGAUUCAUGACUUUAGAAUAGCCAUAAAUCUUUGAGGAAUGAGCAAACCAAAAUUAGGAACAUAUGUCCCCUCUGCUCUUGGAAUGGCACUUCCACGAGAGUCACCAGGAGUUAAAUGGAAUGAUGACAAGCCACAUAUGGCACCAGAUCUGUGCUAGAUUAAUAACAGUAUGAGAACACAGUUAAACAGUGAUAAUCCCCUUGUUAUCCAGUGUCUUUUCCCUUUCCAACAACCUCACAGUACAUCGUUAAACACGCAAAAGACACUUGUUAAUGGGGACAGCUGACACGCGAGGAGAAGCCAUGUGGCCUAUCUUUUGAAACAAGCUGAAGAGGCUGAUUCUUCAUUCACAGGACUGCAGAGGAGUCAUUUGGAGAUCAAAAAAUGAGGCUAACCCUGACUAGCUUGAGGCGCUCCAUCUGGCUCUGCCCCAUGCUGUUGCCAUAGCCACCCAUCUCCUAGCAACAAUGAAUAGCAUUUUCAUGUCUCUACAGUGACAAAGCAUGAGAGUGAAAAACAUAAGUAUGGCCACAAUACACUAAUAAUCUUAGAGGUUAUCUCAUAAAUUAAGUUCAAUCUGAGGAUCUGCAUGAAUAUUUGAUUUGGUGAUUGUAUUUUUCCUAUGGUAGUCUUUUGUCUUGGUUUAAAAUAAAGCAGCCUGACAGCCUGCUAUUAAAUAUAAGAUGACAAAUACCAUUACAAAGGGCACAAUAAAGCUAAACUUUAUUUUAAA